CGAUUACGGGAGGCAGCAGUGGGGAAUAUUGCGCAAUGGGGGCAACCCUGACGCAGCCAUGCCGCGUGAAUGAAGAAGGCCUUGGUUGUAAGUUCUUUCGGUAGCGAGGAAGGCAUUUAUUUUAAUAGACUAGGUGAUUGACGUUAACUACAGAAGAAGCACCGGCUAACUCCGUGCCAGCAGCCGCGGUAAUAUCG
rnacentral:rRNA from 1 species